rnacentral:tRNA from 1 species
GAAGAGGCAUAACAGAACUGCUAACUCUCAGACCUGAGAUUAUAAACCUCAGACUCUUC